rnacentral:rRNA from 1 species
UAAGGAAUAUUGGUCAAUGGACGCAAGUCUGAACCAGCCAUGCCGCGUGGAGGAUUAAGGCCCUCUGGGUUGUAAACUCCUUUUAUCUGGGAAGAAAUGUACUUUUUCUUGAGUACUUGACGGUACCAGAGGAAUAAGCACCGGCUAACUCCGUGCCAGCAGCCGCGGUAAUACGGAGGGUGCAAGCGUUAUCCGGAUUCACUGGGUUUAAAGGGUGCGUAGGUGGGCAGGUAAGUCAGUGGUGAAAUCUCCGGGCUUAACCCGGAAACUACCGUUGAUACUAUUUGUCUUGAAUAUUGUGGAGGUAAGCGGAAUAUGUCAUGUAGCGGUGAAAUGCUUAGAUAUGACAUAGAACACCAAUUGCGAAGGCAGCUUACUACACAAUCAUUGACGCUGAGGCACGAAAGCGUGGGGAUCAAACA